UUAAUUAAUUAAGUAAAGGUUAAAUUAAGAAAUAUCAAAACAUAAUGGAGCAGGAGGUACAAGCUUCAUAUCUAAGGUGCCAACAAAGCUGGUUUGGGCCCAGAAUACCUUGAAGAUGUGAAACGCACAACUGGAAAAUGCUUCAACAAAGAUUUCACGCAAAGUGAACCACGAUCUGACCCCGGUGUCGCUGUCCCCAAGGCGAAAUUCAGAUCAAACCGCAACUCCAUCGGCAUCACGUCCAACACCAGUUGAAUCUGAACUCAACAACCGUUUUUGCAAACGUAAUUCCACGUCUUCAAUUGAUCCCUUCGUAUUUCGAUUCAACACGGUUCGAAUUCGGUGCUUCGCUUUUGGUUCGAGCUCGAAAAUAUGAAUUGAAGGAAAAAGCAUGAAGAAUUCUAAUAAAUCAACGCGACAUACCUACGGAAAUGGUUUCGGCUUCGCCGCUGACGCGUACGGGUGCGUGAGAGGGGGAGAAAGCUCGAGAGUGCAACUUGGAGGACUUGAGAGAUGUUAGCAAUCAGAGCCUGAAGAAAAGUUGAGAGUGAAGAUUGAAGCAUACAGAAAGGAGGUUCUGUUUGGAGAAUGAAGCUGAAACAAAAUGGUAGAAGAGUGAAGGAUGAAGAAUAAUAAAUGUUGAAGAAGAGAUUGAAGACCGAAGAAAAAAAUCCCCAAAGAGCGGUAAGUGAAGUGUUAUUUAUAGAAUUCCCAAAAUUGGAUAUGGUUUUUUCAAAUUGAUUUUCAUUUUAAUUGGAUUUUGAUCUUUAAAUUGAUUAUUUCAAUUUCUAGAUUAAUUUUAAAUUAUUUUAACCAA